UUCAGCAGUCUCACCAGUUUUAGCAGCAGAUCCUCCAGCUGGUGCAGCAGCAGUAUCGUCAGACUCCACCGAGUUCUUUCUCUGAUUCUUCCUCGAACUUUUCUAUCGUGCCACACAUAUCUUCAUUGAUGGAGCUCUUGUCUGAUUUGAGUACUAGACUGAAGAGUGUGGAGAGCUCCUUACUCAAAUUCAGUGGCAAAAUUUUUGAUAUUGAG
rnacentral:lncRNA from 1 species